CAGUAACAGUACAAAGCUCACGGCUAAUAAAAAUAGGCUCAAAGCAAAUUGCAGAAAUAAGAGCCCAAGGCUCAAUCCAACAUCUAAGCUUAAGGCCUCUAGCCCCAACAAAUGGAGCGCACUGGAACCAUGGAGCCCCAGAAUCUUGAUUCGAAGAACCAGACCGGGUACAUCUCUUAACAGCAUUACUUCUGCCAUUAGAAGGGUUUAACCACGAAGAAAGCCAUAGCAAAGGAGAUUAGAUUUCUCUUGCAAUAUAUCUAACACAAGCCAUAGAGAAAUUUUUUGAAGCACAAAGGAGAAAAUCAGCUGAAAGCCUAGAACAUUCCAAAUCAAGGAGAAACGAUGUAUGAAGCAAAAUGACCACAUGCAUCUCUGGAGCUAGACUAUAGGUGGUGAGGGUAGUGAACUUCUAUCUCCACCAUAUCAACCACCAACACCGGGUUAAGAGAGGUUGAAGGAGGCUGCUUUAGACCAAUCCACGCUGGCGAGAGGUAAGGGAGAUGUGCUCUCAGCAACUCAUUUGCUUUUUUUAAUUUUUCGCUCUGUGAACCACUUUCUGCCGAGAAUAAACCAAGAGAAACGCAUAUGUUAGAAACUCCAAAUCUGUAAUCAAAUAAACACACAAACCAACCCUCUACAGCCAGAAUAGCCUUCUCUUGUGAGCUCAAUUGCCACCAUAAACUGGUCUUAUGGAAAUUAGAUGCAACUGGCAAGAGAGAGUGAAAAGGAAAGUUCACCCCCACAUGGGAAGGAUCCUUCAGAAUUGUUAAAGUAGUCAAGUUAGGUGUCUUCCACUUAGAAGACUUAGGUGGCAAAAGAGAACUACAUGUCUGAAAUGUACAACACCUUUUAAAAGGUAUUAUGUAUAAACUUGUAUAAAGAUUUAUACAAGAGAAACAGAAGAAUCUCCUAUAUUGUAACACCCAGUCCGACAAGGUAAUGGAAGGCGUGACCAAUAUGGUAUGCAGAUUAAACCCCUACACCUCCGACCAUAUCAAUACUCAAAACGGCCAAGCCGUCCUCACCAAUGCAUGCCCAAAGCAAUUAAAAUGCGCAAACCCCUAUUAGAGCCAUGAUUGCGUAUAACUAACAGAAAAAACAUUUGUGAUGUACAGGGUAUGGGUGAAGCGGCUCAACAUUUAUUAGCAACGUGGCUUGACACACCUGCAACGAAAUGCCACUGUUAUAUCCGAUGAGAUAACCUGUUAGAAUAUCCCGAUACGGCCAGGUAUUAAUACUCUUGACCCAUUUACGUUAAGAGACAGAUUUUUAUCAAUCACAGAUUCAAAAAACUCUCAAUCUCUUUAAGCAACUUCAACUUCCACGAAAUAGAAAAGCCAACCCUAUUAACUCUCGUUUCAAUCAAUCAGAG
rnacentral:lncRNA from 1 species